AUGGUGGGUGCAUGGCAGGAGCAUCUUCAUGGUUCUUGAGAUCGGGAGCAGCAUAAGCAGUAUGAGGAUGGAGAAGAAUGGCUGUGCUGUUCCUUCUCCUCCUCCUUCUCAAAAACUCUUCAGUUUGUCCAUGCCUUUCAUGGCAUAAUUCCCUGGAUUCCAGAAUCUCUGGGUGGCUUAGGGAGGUAUGAACAAACCGGCAAGUCAUAAAUCGGCAAUAGUGAGCUCCGACUGGAGCUUA
rfam:Oryza sativa (indica cultivar-group) chromosome 2, whole genome shotgun sequence.